rnacentral:rRNA from 1 species
ACGAACGCUGGCGGCGUGCUUAACACAUGCAAGUCGAACGGAAAGGCCCUGCUUUUGUGGGGUGCUCGAGUGGCGAACGGGUGAGUAACACGUGAGUAACCUGCCCUUGACUUUGGGAUAACUUCAGGAAACUGGGGCUAAUACCGGAUAGGAGCUCCUGCUGCAUGGUGGGGGUUGGAAAGUUUCGGCGGUUGGGGAUGGACUCGCGGCUUAUCAGCUUGUUGGUGGGGUAGUGGCUUACCAAGGCUUUGACGGGUAGCCGGCCUGAGAGGGUGACCGGCCACAUUGGGACUGAGAUACGGCCCAGACUCCUACGGGAGGCAGCAGUGGGGAAUAUUGCACAAUGGGCGGAAGCCUGAUGCAGCAACGCCGCGUGCGGGAUGACGGCCUUCGGGUUGUAAACCGCUUUCGCCUGUGACGAAGCGUGAGUGACGGUAAUGGGUAAAGAAGCACCGGCUAACUACGUGCCAGCAGCCGCGGUGAUACGUAGGGUGCGAGCGUUGUCCGGAUUUAUUGGGCGUAAAGGGCUCGUAGGUGGUUGAUCGCGUCGGAAGUGUAAUCUUGGGGCUUAACCCUGAGCGUGCUUUCGAUACGGGUUGACUUGAGGAAGGUAGGGGAGAAUGGAAUUCCUGGUGGAGCGGUGGAAUGCGCAGAUAUCAGGAGGAACACCAGUGGCGAAGGCGGUUCUCUGGGCCUUUCCUGACGCUGAGGAGCGAAAGCGUGGGGAGCGAACAGGCUUAGAUACCCUGGUAGUCCACGCUGUAAACGGUGGGUACUAGGUGUGGGGUCCAUUCCACGGGUUCCGUGCCGUAGCUAACGCUUUAAGUACCCCGCCUGGGGAGUACGGCCGCAAGGCUAAAACUCAAAGGAAUUGACGGGGCCCCGCACAAGCGGCGGAGCAUGCGGAUUAAUUCGAUGCAACGCGUAGAACCUUACCUGGGUUUGACAUGGAUCGGGAGUGCUCAGAGAUGGGUGUGCCUCUUUUGGGGUCGGUUCACAGGUGGUGCAUGCCUGUCGUCAGCUCGUGUCGUGAGAUGUUGGGUUAAGUCCCGCAACGAGCGCAACCCUUGUUCACUGUUGCCAGCACGUUAUGGUGGGGACUCAGUGGAGACCGCCGGGGUCAACUCGGAGGAAGGUGGGGAUGACGUCAAGUCAUCAUGCCCCUUAUGUCCAGGGCUUCACGCAUGCUACAAUGGCUGGUACAGAGAGUGGCGAGCCUGUGAGGGUGAGCGAAUCUCGGAAAGCCGGUCUCAGUUCGGAUUGGGGUCUGCAACUCGACCUCAUGAAGUCGGAGUCGCUAGUAAUCGCAGAUCAGCAACGCUGCGGUGAAUACGUUCCCGGGGCUUGUACACACCGCCCGUCAAGUCAUGAAAGUUGGUAACACCCGAAGCCGGUGGCCUAACCGUUGUGGGGGAGCCGUCGAAGGUGGGACUGGUGAUUAGGACUAAGUCGUAACAAGGUAGCCGUACCGGAAGGUGCGGCUG